UGGGCCGCUGCUUCAGAUGGCAC
rnacentral:piRNA from 1 species